rnacentral:misc_RNA from 1 species
GGUGGGAGCGGGCUUGCUCGCGAUAGCGUUGUGGCAGUCGGUAUAUAAAUUGACUGAUCCGCCGCCUUCGCGAGCAAGCCCGCUCCCACA